UUCUUAUUUAAUUUUCUUAUCAUUGUGCAUAUAUAAAUUCUCGUUUCAUUUUGAAAAUUGUAUUCAGAAUAUCGUUUGACUAUAAAAGAAGACACAGUAGGCGCACGACACAAAAUGUCAAGCUUCAAAUUCUACGGCCUAUUGUUGCUAUUGAUUGUAGCAAUUUUAAUGAUAGUUUCACCAGCAAUGUCGUGUAUCGCAACUGGAAAUGGAUGUCAGCCUUGGGCAUGGCCUCAAUGUUGUUCGGGAAAUUGUUACAAAGAAGAAGGAUGGGUUGCUGGAAUUUGUAGAAAUAGAAAUUGAAUUUUUAUAAUUAUAAAAAUCAAAAUAAAACAAGCAAUGAGAA